rnacentral:rRNA from 1 species
UACAGAGGGGGCAAGCGUUAUUCGGAAUUAUUGGGCGUAAAGGGCGCGUAGGCGGCUUUGCAAGUGGCGGGUGAAAUCCCUCGGCUUAACCGAGGAACUGCCUGUCAAACUGCAUGGCUUGAGACCAGGAGAGGUGAGUGGAAUUCCCAGUGUAGCGGUGAAAUGCGUAGAUCUCGGGAGGAACACCAAUGGCGAAGGCAGCUUCUUGGUCCAUAUCUGACGUUGAGGCACGAAAGCGUGGGGAGCAAACAGG